UAGCAUAAUCAAUUGUUUUUUAAUUGGAAACUGGAAUGAACGGUUAAACAAAUUUUAAUUUUUUUUUUUUUAAUUAAUGAAUUUUUAUUAUAAGUAAAAAUACUUAUAUAUUUUAAAGGGACGAUAAGACCCUAGAAGCUUUAAUUAAAAUAUUAUAAGAUAAUUUUAUUUAAAACUUAUAAUUUUUAUAAUUUUGGUUGGGGAAACAUAAACUACAAAAAUAAUUUUUAUAUAAAUUUAUUUAUUAUUUUAUGAUCUUUUAANUAAAAAAAAAGGAAAAGUUACUCUAGGGAUAACAGCGUAAUNAUUUUGGAUAGACCAUAUAUAUAAAAUUGAUUACGACCUCGAUGUUGAAUUAAGAUAUCUUUAUAAAGU
rnacentral:rRNA from 1 species